GAUUCUGUAGCUCAGCUGGGAGAGCGCUACCUUGACAGGGUAGAGGUCGCUGGUUCGAGCCCAGUCAGAAUCAC
rnacentral:tRNA from 1 species